rnacentral:rRNA from 1 species
GACGAACGCUGGCGGCGUGCUUAACACAUGCAAGUCGAACGGAAAGGCCCCCAUCUUGGUGGGGGUGCUCGAGUGGCGAACGGGUGAGUAACACGUGGGUGAUCUGCCCUGUACUUCGGGAUAAGCUUGGGAAACUGGGUCUAAUACCGGAUAGGACCAUGGUUUAGUGUCUCAUGGUGGAAAGAUUAUUGUUUUGGUGCAGGAUGAGCUCGCGGCCUAUCAGCUUGUUGGUGGGGUAAUGGCCUACCAAGGCGUCGACGGGUAGCCGGCCUGAGAGGGUGGACGGCCACAUGGGGACUGAGAUACGGCCCAGACUCCUACGGGAGGCAGCAGUGGGGAAUAUUGCACAAUAGGCGCAAGCCUGAUGCAGCGACGCCGCGUGGGGGAUGACGGCCUUCGGGGUGUAAGCUCCUUUCGUUAGGGACGAAGCCGCACUUUUUUGGGGUGUGGUGACGGUACCUUUGUUAAGAAGCACCGGCUAACUACGUG